UCCGAGUUGACCCCGGCGGUCUCCCGUGAGUCCCCAGCACCACAAGGGCCUGCUGGCAACACGGGACAAGGGUUGCGCUCGUUGCGGGACUUAACCCAACAUCUCACGACACGAGCUGACGACAGCCAUGCACCACCUGUACACCGACCCAAAGGGGGCGACCAUCUCUGGCCGUUUCCGGCGUAUGUCAAGCCUUGGUAAGGUUCUUCGCGUUGCGUCGAAUUAAGCCACAUGCUCCGCUGCUUGUGCGGGCCCACGUCAGUUCCUUUGAGUUUUAACCUUGCGGCCGUACUCCCCAGGCGGGAUGCUUAAUGCGUUAGCUGCGCCACCGACAAGCAAGCUUGCCGACGGCUAGCAUCCAUCGUUUACGGCGUGGACUAC
rnacentral:misc_RNA from 1 species